rnacentral:rRNA from 1 species
AUUGAACGCUGGCGGCAUGCCUUACACAUGCAAGUCGAACGGUAACGCGGGGCAACCUGGCGACGAGUGGCGAACGGGUGAGUAAUGCAUCGGAACGUGCCCAGUAGUGGGGGAUAGCCCGGCGAAAGCCGGAUUAAUACCGCAUACGACCUACGGGUGAAAGCGGGGGACUCGCAAGGGCCUCGCGCUAUUGGAGCGGCCGAUGUCAGAUUAGCUAGUUGGUGGGGUAAAGGCCUACCAAGGCGACGAUCUGUAGCUGGUCUGAGAGGACGACCAGCCACACUGGGACUGAGACACGGCCCAGACGCCUACGGGAGGCAGCAGUGGGGAAUUUUGGACAAUGGGCGCAAGCCUGAUCCAGCCAUGCCGCGUGCGGGAAGAAGGCCUUCGGGUUGUAAACCGCUUUUGUCAAGGAAGAAACGCUCUGGGUUAAUACCUCGGGGUAAUGACGGUACCUGAAGAAUAAGCACCGGCUAACUACGUGCCAGCCGCCGCGGUAAGAC